rnacentral:rRNA from 1 species
GUGGGGAAUAUUGGGCAAUGGGGGAAACCCUGACCCAGCAACGCCGCGUGAAGGAAGAAGGUUUUCGGAUCGUAAACUUCUAUCCUUGGUGAAGAUAAUGACGGUAGCCAAGAAGGAAGCCCCGGCUAACUACGUGCCAGCAGCCGCGGUAAUACGUAGGGGGCAAGCGUUGUCCGGAAUGAUUGGGCGUAAAGGGCGCGUAGGCGGCCCGGUAAGUCUGAAGUGAAAGUCCUGCUUUUAAGGUGGGAAUUGCUUUGGAGACUGUCGGGCUUGAGUGCAGGAGAGGUAAGCGGACUUCCCGGUGUUGCUGUGAAAUGCGUAGAGAUCGUGAGGAACACCCGUGGCGAAGGCGGCUUACUGGACUGUAACUGACGCUGAGGCGCGAAAGUGUGGGGAGCAAACAGGAUUAGAAACCCGUGUAGUCC